rnacentral:rRNA from 1 species
AUGCGUAUGUUGAGAUGGAUGUGUGGCCACACGAGGAAGGAUCGAGUCCGGAAUGAUGAUAUACGAGAUAUAGUUGGGGUAGCACCAAUUGAAGAGAAGCUUGUCCAACAUCGUCUGAGAUGGUUUGGGCAUAUUCAGCGCAGGCCUCCAGAAGCUCCAGUGCAUAGCGUACGGCUAAAGCGUGCAGAGAAUGUCAAGAGAGGGCGGGGUAGAUCGAAUUUGACAUGGGAGGAGUCCGUUAAGAGAGACCUGAAUGAUUGGAGUAUCACCAAAGAGCUAGCUAUGGACAGGGGUGCGUGGAAGCUUGCUAUCUAUGUGCCAGAGCCAUGA